AUUGUAGUCUGCAACCCGACUACAUGAAGCUGGAAUCGCUAGUAAUCGCAGGUCAGCAUACUGCGGUGAAUACGUUCCCGGGUCUUGUACACACCGCCCGUCACACCAUGGGAGCCGGAAAUGCCCGAAGCCAGUGACCCAACCUUAGGGAGGGAGCUGUCGAAGGUGGAGCCGGUAACUGGGGUGAAGUCGUAACAAGGUAAC
rnacentral:rRNA from 1 species